GAUGAAGAACGCAGCGAAAUGCGAUAAGUAAUGUGAAUUGCAGAAUUCAGUGAAUCAUCGAAUCUUUGAACGCACCUUGCGCCCUUUGGCUAUUCCGAAGGGCAUGCCUGUUUGAGUAUCAUGAACACCUCAACUCUCAUGGCUUGCCAUGAUGAGCUUGGACUUUUGGGGGUCUUGCUGGCCUGUGGUCAGCUCCUCUCAAAUGAAUUAGCCUGCCAGUGUUUGGUGGCAUCACAGGUGUGAUAACUAUCUACGCUUGUGGUUUUCCACCAGGUAACCUUCAGUGAUGAAGGUUCGCUGGGGCUCAUAAACGUCUCUCCUCAGUGAGGACAGCUCUUUGAACGUUUGAUCUCAAAUCAGGUAGGACUACCCGCUGGACUUAAGCAUAUCAAUAAGCGGAGGA
rnacentral:misc_RNA from 1 species